rnacentral:rRNA from 1 species
AUGGAUGCGAGUGCACGAGCAAGCUACAUCAAGAAGAUGCAUGAGGAUACAAGGCACACCAUCGAGCGCCAAGUACAACGACUAGCGACCAAGCUCAACGUCAACAAGCAACCCAUGAUCUUCAACAUUGGUGAUCUCAUGUGGCUACACCUUCACAAGGACCGCUUCCCCAACGAAUGCAAGUCCAAACUCCUACCUCGAGCCGAUGGACCCUUCAAGGUGCUAGAACGCUACAACAACAACAACGCCUACAAGAUCGACAUCCCACGAGACAAGUACAACCUGAGUGACAUCUUCAACGUCCAAGACCUCUCGCCAUACCAUGGUGAUGAAACUUUCGAUCCGAGGUCGGAUCUUUCCCAAGGGGGGGGGGUGAUGUGGAGCAUCCCUCGCUCAUCCCCAUGGACGUACCUACAUCUCCCUCGACACCACUCGGACCCAUGCCAAGAGCUCGAGCAAAGGCUAUCGAAGAUAAGGUGA